GAUCCGGCUCAGGAUGAACGCUGGCGGCGUGCCUAACACAUGCAAGUCGAACGGACUUACAUUGAAGCCUAGCGAUAUGUAAGUUAGUGGCGGACGGGUGAGUAACGCGUGGGUAACCUGCCUUGUACUGGGGGACAACAGUUGGAAACGACUGCUAAUACCGCAUAAGCGCACAGCUUCGCAUGAAGCAGUGUGAAAAACUCCGGUGGUACAAGAUGGACCCGCGUCUGAUUAGCUGG
rnacentral:rRNA from 1 species